ensembl:snoRNA
AUUAACAAUGGAUUCAAAACAAUUACCUUCUUUCUGACCUAUACUGACCUCUGCAAUGCUGGUGAAGGCUAAUGCUGGUGUCUGAGUGAUU